UACGUAGGGGGCAAGCGUUGUCCGGAUUUAUUGGGCGUAAAGAGCUCGUAGGCGGUUUGUUGCGUCGGCUGUGAAAACCCGGGGCUCAACCCCGGGCCUGCAGCCGAUACGGGCAGACUAGAGUUCGGCAGGGGAGACUGGAAUUCCUGGUGUAGCGGUGAAAUGCGCAGAUAUCAGGAGGAACACCAGUGGCGAAAGCGGCUACCUGGCCCAUUCUUGACGCUGAGGCGCGAAAGCUAGGGGAGCAAACGGG
rnacentral:rRNA from 1 species